GAUGAAGAACGUAGCGAAAUGCGAUAAGUAAUGUGAAUUGCAGAAUUCAGUGAAUCAUCGAAUCUUUGAACGCACAUUGCGCCCGCCAGUAUACUGGCGGGCAUGCCUGUUCGAGCGUCAUUACAACCCUCAGGCCCCCGGGCCUGGCGUUGGGGAUCGGCGGAAGCCCCCUGCGGGCACAACGCCGUCCCCCAAAUACAGUGGCGGUCCCGCCGCAGCUUCCAUUGCGUAGUAGCUAACACCUCGCAACUGGAGAGCGGCGCGGCCACGCCGUAAAACACCCAACUUCUGAAUGUUGACCUCGAAUCAGGUAGGAAUACCCGCUGAACUUAAGCAUAUCAAUAAGCGGAGGA
rnacentral:misc_RNA from 1 species